GACGGAGGAUGCAAGUGUUAUCCGGAAUCACUGGGCGUAAAGCGUCUGUAGGUGGUUUAAUAAGUCAACUGUUAAAUCUUGAGGCUCAACUUCAAAAUCGCAGUCGAAACUAUUAAACUAGAGUAUAGUAGGGGUAAAGGGAAUUUCCAGUGGAGCGGUGAAAUGCGUAGAGAUCGGGAGGAACAUCAGUGGCGAAGGCGGCCAUCUGGGACAACACUGACGCUGAGGCACGAAAGCGUGGGGAGCAAACAGG
rnacentral:rRNA from 1 species